ACAAACUCUUUGUUUCUAGAGAAUAAGGAAGAUGCAUCAUGCCUGUCAUUGGUUCUUUUCGGAUGGGGAGAUGUGGUUUGACAUACCCCUUCUGCCUUGGUACUUGAGCAAAGCCUUUGGUGGUGUGCUCUGUGAAAGGGAUACUCUAAAUGGAGAGUCAGCUGAAUAGAUACCUCUCAUGACACAUGGAUGGUCAACAUGAAGUUGCUUUUUACAAAGAUAGUUGGAAUUGCCUUCAAACAAACAAGCAGCCAGGAUCAGCUGACACGAUCUUUCAGGCAUUAUGUGGAUACUAUUCAUGGCACAUUCACACUUUGUGCAGAUUUGGAAAUUCCUGUCACCAUCUUGUACGGUCCUCAAGUCCCUGUGUUCGAGGGCAUGAAAGAAAAAAGAGGUCAAGGAUUUGUUGGGGUUGGAGGCCACAUGACACAUCUUCUAUCGGUUGUAUGCCUAAUUAUGCAACUAAAGCGAUCCCUUCUUCAGGCACUUGGGAAGAAAAGGACUGGGGUGCCGCCGUUCCGUCAAAGCCCCUCUGCUGCACACUCCGAGCUGGUGCAUUUUGGAUGCUUGCAGACAGGAGGGAAGGACCAGCUUUACCAUCUGGAGGGAGUUUGCGGUCAGACACGCCUGUGCCGAGUUCUUCUGCUAAAACAGAAUCCCUAACUGGAGAGGCGCCCCAAAUCUUCACGGGGGAAGAUGAGCUGGAUUUCUGCAGGAGCGAGCUCCUCAUCAUCGGGGUUGCCUUGGCACAAGCUUGGUUGCCUGCUGACUUCAAGUGCAAAGGCAGACGCUCCGAACACCAAGAGAAUUUUAAAAGAACAACUGGAGUGGCAUUGUUCUGCAUUUGGACAUCCUCAGACUGA
rnacentral:lncRNA from 1 species